rnacentral:rRNA from 1 species
CACGUAGGCGGACAUUUUAGUCAGGGGUGAAAUCCCGGGGCUCAACCCCGGAACUGCCUUUGAUACUGGGUGUCUGGAGGUCGAGAGAGGUGAGUGGAAUUCCGAGUGUAGAGGUGAAAUUCGUAGAUAUUCGGAGGAACACCAGUGGCGAAGGCGGCUCACUGGCUCGAUACUGACGCUGAGGUGCGAAAGCGUGGGGAGCAAACA